ACGCUCGACACCUACGGGAGGUAGCAGUCGGGAAUAUUGCGCAAUGGAGGAAACUCUGACGCAGUGACGCCGCGUAUAGGAAGAAGGUUUUCGGAUUGUAAACUAUUGUCGUUAGGGAAGAGAAAGGACAGUACCUAAGGAGGAAGCUCCGGCUAACUACGUGUCAGCAGCCGCGGUAAUCUGAGCGGGCUGGCAAGGC
rnacentral:rRNA from 1 species